rnacentral:rRNA from 1 species
UACGGAGGGGGCGAGCGUUAUUCGGAAUUAUUGGGCGUAAAGGGCGCGUAGGCGGCUUGACAAGUCAAAGGUGAAAUCCCUCGGCUCAACUGAGGAACUGCCUUUGAAACUGUCUGGCUUGAGGCCGGGAGGGGGUAGCGGAAUUCCCAGUGUAGCGGUGAAAUGCGUAGAUACUGGGAGGAACACCAGUGGCGAAGGCGGCUACCUGGACCGGUUCUGACGCUGAGGCGCGAAAGCGUGGGUAGCGAACAGG